UUUAAACUCUUCGCCUUGAAUGAAUCGAUUGAUGCGACCGAGCUGACUAAAAGGCUGCUUGGUUUGAGCUAGUCCAGCUAGAUCUACGAGAUUUGUUCGCAACUGUCGACAAAAGAUAGCCAAGUUUAGUUUUUUUUUCAACUAGGUUCUACAAAAUAGUCAUCCAGUUAAUUGGAAUGAGCGACGUGGCCAGGAACAUAUCAGAAUUAUUUUGUCGACUGAAUUCUACAAUCGUAAAUUUGACAAAUCCAAACAUAUUGAACAACAAAAUUCUACAUUACCUGAGUGAGAAGUUCCGAUCCGUUCCGAUUUUCUGUCAGGCAAUUUUUGAUGUGGCGGAGAUUAAACGAGCAACUUCCGGAUCGCUAUUUUAGACGCUUUUUUUCUUUUAAUUUUGCUGCAUGGUGUUAUGAUCCGUUAAUGAGUCUUCCGUUAGUGGUUGAUGUUUCCGGAGAAUUACGACAGGAUCCAGGCUAAUCCCAAUGUUUUUUUUAAUGCAAAUUACUGAAAUUUGAACUUUGUUCAUUUUCAUAAGACUGUGCUGACGGUUCGGAACUUCGAGGCUCGGAAGCAGCACCGGGUCACGAACUGUCGUGGGGUCAAACUGAUUAGCCGACCAGCUGCAUGAAGCUAGUAAGUCAAGCAGUGUAUGGUUCCUCCGGCCCUCGGCUCGGCAGAUCGUGAUCCGGUGGCUUACCGACGUUGCUUCCGAACUUUGAAUCUCCUGUCAGACAGAACGUUCAAUUAAAAAAAAAACAAUUACCUGUUAGCAGCUUUCAAGCGUUUUCGUAUCUGGAUCAUAUUUACUCGAUUUAAAGACACAAAUUUACGAGAAAGUUUUAACCUGUUUAAACGUCAAUUUUGGAAGAAAAUUUAUUAUUUGCUAAACCACGUACAAUUGAUCACUUUUAAAAUGGCGAUGAAGCAUUACGAGAUUUUUCAAUAAAUUAUGGUUAAAUUUUAAACCACAUUUGGUUAUUGAACGUGAACUUUGAAGAUGGUUAGAAUUGGACUUGAAAAAAUUGUUAAAAAAUAACCAUAUUGGCAGUUUUGUUGCGAAAACCAUAAAAUGGUUAUUUAUGAACCAAAAAUGGUUAUAAAAAAAUGAGCGUGUGUGUGAUAAAUCAAGGGCGCUUCAAUAUGCACACAAAAUAAGUUAUGUUUGGGUAAGAUUUUUCCGUUUGUGUAUUUGGCCGUUAGUUUCACGAUAACCCUUAGAUAGCGCUGCGGAACAAGCGCCAAAAUCAGCCUUCAGUGGUCAGUCUGGGUAUCUGGUGUCUGCGCUACAAGUUAAUCCAAGGGAUUAAAAGAAAAACAAAAGAAAGAUAUAAACCGACCAAAGCUGUUGAGAACCAAGGACGAGUUAUCCUCGACAGGUCUGGACGAAAAAUUCAUAAAGAAAAUGUUAAACGAUUAUAAACUAAUAUUUUUUAUUUUUCAGGAUGCACUCUUCAUUUAUCACCAUAAUGAUAUUCACUCCCUUUUCCUAUCCCAAAUUUAUCCAACUCCAUGAUAUCACAAAUAAUCCAGGAGCGCUGACUCUCAGUGCGGGAGAGGCCAGAAUUCACGAAGGGUACACAGUAAAUGAAAAUUACCGAGUUCGGUAAUUUAUUUUACAGAACUAGAUCUGUAAUUCGAAAAUUUUCGGUAAUCAAUCAAUCUGACAUCUUGUUUUUACCGAGUUCGGUAAAUCGAGUUUUGAUUUACCGAUGUUCGUUUAUUUUUAUGUAAACAAAACUCUUUGUAGAAAAUUUUCGGUAAAAAAAACACCGAAAACUGUAAAUCAGUGUCGCUGGCAGCACAAACGUCAAAUUUUGAUGUGUCCUUUUCUGGCAACUGUCUCACUCUGAACAAAACGAAACAAAUGCGACAACUGCCAUUUUUUUCCCGUCGUCGUGUCGAAGUGUCGUGAGAAUUAUUAUUUUUGUAAAAAUUAGUUACAAACCCGUCUUUUCCCUUCAAUUUUUGUUAUGUAAUCGUUUGCUAAGGGCAGAUGGUUCCUCAGCUAGUGUUACCUGGAUUCCUUAUGGAAUGUAAAACCCGUAAUCCUUGACAGAAUAUUUGAUAUGGGUAAGUCAAAGCCACUAUUUGUGUGUUUUCAUUUUAGGAACCAUAAAUCACAAAAAUCAAGAUCAUAAAAUCUUAUGAUAAUUACUGACGUUUGUUGAUUAAAGAAAUCGUGCUAUGGAGACUUAUCCGAAUUACAUCCGAUGGUAAAGCUUCGCGUAUGUUGUUGACCACAAAGACGCCCGGAAGUGCAGGUAUAUAUAACCUACAUCAUUGAGGAUCGAGAAUGAUAGUUCUGUAAAAAUCCGUCCCAACCUUGAGUCCCAGAAAAACCAAAAUAACAACAACCUCCAGAAGCUCAAAGCACCUCGAACUCCCCACGGAAAGAUUGCAAGCGCAAGCGUUUCCAUCACCAUUUCUCGUUUGCUCGAAAAGUGACGAUAUUUUCUGUUAGCGCUUGUGUGAAAAAAUAAAAAUCGAGCAGUUUUCAAUCGCAGCAAUCGGCGAGUGUUUUUAUUGUUAUUUUUGUGAAACAGUACCGGAUGGUGCGAUGGUGCAUAUGAUUUUUUCGGGUUUGUUUAUUUUUUUAUCAAAUUAAUGAUAAUAUGGACUGCUGUUUCCGUUCAACGGUUUAUUUGUCCUUCAAGCCGGAACUUCAUCAUCCAACAACGAACCCUAGAGGAACAAGAAUAUCAGAAGCAUUCAGUCCGGAAGAUGAGGGUAUUGGUUUAAGCGGUCAGGUCCCUUAGAACCAAUGUAUGCAAUGCGGAACCGGAAUCGAAUUACAAAACCCCGGACGAGGUGAUAAAGGGCGGAUUGGUACUGACGGACUUCAGUACCGUUUGAAAGCGUUUUGAAAGGUUCUGCCAAAAAGCCAUCCGGAAGCACUUGGAACAAUGUACCGACUUCAAGAGAACAUGGAUUCAAAAUUUGGGAUCAUUAAACCCAAGAAUCGGCUUCCUUUGCACAAGGAAAUACGUGCGAUGGUCUCUCCGGAACAGUUGUGUGAUUUUUUUAUUAUUGCUGCCGAGCAGCACCUAUAAGAUGAUGGCUCUGGAAGAAGUUUAUUUUACUCAUCAAUAGGGCGACGACGAAUGAAUGCGGCUAAAGAUAAAUGAUGACGUGAAGGUGUUUCUCUGAAACGUCACGACGGCCAACAUACAGGCAAUGAGGGGCAAAUGUAUCCUACAGCUGAACGACCCUUGUGAUCCAACCGGGUUGCGGCGAAAAAUUCUCGUAUGUACGAAUGCCCAACAAACGGAUGCAAAACAUAAAGGGAAGCCAGUCGUAACGUGCCGUCACUGGAACGGAUUCCGAUUUGCGUUGACUUUCGGUGAAUAAUUCCAAAGCUUUGCUUCGUUAAUUCAAGUACCGGUAAAGGAAAUCAAAAAAAAACAAUCCCGUUGGAAUUGAUACUGUACGAACGUUGUCCACGGAAAAAAGCAAAGGCCGUCGAACAGGGAAUGGAUUAGUACUUGCGUGAUCGUUUUUCCAUUGCCGAAUAUCAGAGCAUUAAAAGGAGGAAUGAGAACGGAUCUCGAUCUGCAAAAUCGAAUUCUUGCUUCGUCGAAAAUUCAAUCUACAGACGAGGGUGAAUCGACGACUUCCGAGGAAUUCGAUUUGGAGAAGCUGGGUAAAAACCGGAAAAUAUGUUGGCCAACAAAAAAACUUCCACUCAACUGUAGCUGAAAGGAAAAGAACAGGAAUUGCUCAGAAAAUUAUGGAAAAACAGAGCAGUUCAAAGGGAGGAAAAAAGGGAACGAUGCCGAUUUAAAGGAAAUUAUCAGCGUAAUACAAAAAUCUCGAAAAUACACGAACAUUGAAAAACUCAGAAGGUCGUAAAUUCACGAUGGUGGUUAUCAUUCUAAGAUCGCCGGUCAUCGAUGCAUACAUAUGUUUAAAUUCGAACUACUAAAGACGAAAUGUUCAUUCGUCAGUUUGCCACUCUGGAUGAAGCGCAGAACGAACUUUAUCUUUAUUGAAGGGGAAAAGCCCAAGUAAAAUAGAUUGAAUCCGCCUCACAUGCGCAUUAAAACUCUCAUCAUUACAGAUUACAACAAAAACUGAAUAGUGUAAAU